UUGUUUGGACAUUUGUUAGUUUCUAAUAUUUUAUUUAUUAUUUUUUUUUAAUAUUGUAAAGAUGGAAAAAGUAAUUACUAUGCGAGAGAUAAUAACGAAUACCAGAAAAAUAAAAUUACAUGAGAAUUUCUUAGAAGACUGUAAUUUAAAAGAUAUAUUUUACAACGGAUUAGAAACUGUCAACUGUGGUUAUAAUGAUUAUGUAAAUGUAAAAGCAUGGCUGUUUGUUAUAUCCGAAAAGCUAUUUUCAAGUGAUUCAGAAGAAUUGGCAUAUGUUGCAUGUGAUGCAUUAAAGUUGUUACUAUGUAAUGCAAAAUUUUUAAAUGUUAUUGUAUAUAAAUUAUUAAAAAAAAAAUUAGAGAAAUAUAUAUUAAGAAUAAUGGGUAUAUGUUGUUUAACUGUUGCUUCACGAAUGCAACAAAUAAAUGAAACGACUUGUUUUAAAGAAAUUUUAGAAAUAUCAUAUUUAAAAGAUAAAUUAAAUGAAUAUAACAUAAGACAAAUUGAAAUGGAUGUUUUUGUAUCUUUAGCACAUUCAGGAUUUUGUUUUGAAAAAAUCAUAACUCCAGUUAACGAAUUAAAUCAUAUUGCAGAAUUUUUAGAAACAUAUGAAAGUUUAUUUGAAAAUGGGGAUUUUGCUUUAUUUAAGUCUUCAAGCAUUUUAAUGUUAAAAAUUAUAUAUUGUAUGGUCCCUGUAUUUAAUAUGAACAUAUAUAAUUAUUCAGUUGUUAAUUAUGUUUUAAAAUUAUUUAUAAAAAAUAAUGAUGCAUAUAAUUAUGUAUUCCAAAUUUUAAAAAAUCAUUACAGUGAUAAAGAAAUUAUUGAUUUAUCAAACUUUCAAAAUCAUAUGUUUAAUAUAAUUAAUGCAUUUAAAAAUACCGACAUAUUUGCAGCAAAGGAUUCAAUUCUAAAAAACCCAGUGGAUAUUGACUUGUUUGAAAAAAUUAACACAAGAAUAGAAAUGGAAUGGUUUCAUGGAAGUUCGAAAGAAAAAAUGCAAUUGCAAGCGUGAACGAUUAAGUUAUAAGCAUGAAAAAAACAAAAAUUAGGUCGUGAAAGAGUGAUUUAUAAUAUGAAAGAACUACAUCCGUAUGUAUUCUAUAAAGCAUAUAAUAGUGCAUAACAUAAAGAGACGGUGUGAAAAAAAAAAAAAAAAAAAAA
rnacentral:lncRNA from 1 species